AGAAGGGAGCUGCAGGGAAGUAGGCUGCAAUCAAUCCCUGAGAGGAAGGAGUUAGUGACCUAGAGAGGAAGGAAGCUAGGAGAAGACUCUGGGGAAAGCAGUAAGGUAGGACAGUGCAGGCCUUGGCUGGUGAUUGCAGGGCACCUAAACCAGAAGGAACUUGGAAUAGAGGUGCACCAGAAGGAACAAAGGAAGCAGCCAUUCAACUGGAGAACGGGUCCUGGCCUAAGAAGUUUUGCCACUAAUACUGCUGAGAGCAUGUGGGGCAUCUGCAGCAGGCGGAGCAUGAUUAAUUGUUCACAUGUGUGGGAGGAUGGAAGCAGAAGGUCUGUCUGGCAGAGUUUGCACUCAUGAAUAUUCAUCAGGGGAAUCUGAAACAGCUGGGAAGCAUGUUUGUAUCCAGAGAAGAUGCAGAUGAGGUUAAUGGAGCAAAUGGAAUGAAACAUGUUAGGUACCUUAGAUGCUUUUGUGUGUCGGCUUCAUGGCAGUGGUUACCAGGGAGGGGAAUGUUGGUACUUCUGGGGAGGCAGUUGCUGACAAUGGAAUGUUAUUUAUCAGGGUCUUUAUAUAUGAAAUGGAAUGAAGUUAAGAAGAGGGGAAUAUAAAGGGAAAACUUCUUGAGAGAAGUUGAACUGUGGGAUUGUCUCCAAAUGGGAAUGCAGGAAGCCCCAGCCCUGGAGACAUUUCAAACUAGGCUGGACAAAACAUUACAACAAGCCUCAAAUGUCAUGGGGAUUGAACUAAAUUGCAUGUUUAUGUUAUUAAAUUUUAAAUAAAUGCAAGGUGCCCCUGCUCUAAUGACUG